rnacentral:lncRNA from 1 species
ACCCCGGAGGAAAGACAGGUUAUGGGUAGGAAAUAAGGUAUUCGGUAUUUAAAAAAAAAUAUGAAGCCCUUAGAUUUUUGGGCCUGAGGUAGGGGCCCUUGCCUCGGGCCCAAAAUCGGCCCUCAACCAUCGAUGAUCGUUGAUCUGUAGCCAUCCAACGAUCGCCACCUUGAAUCCCCAACUCAUCAUCAGAUCUAUAGCCAUUCGAUGAAUCGAAGGUGGAUGAAUUGGAGACCUCGACACUACGAUAAUACUGCGAACCGAAGGUCUUUGAGAUGAGGUGCGAAAGGGAGAAGUUGGGUGCAUCACUUUGAGCAGAAUGAACGACCUAGCAACGACGAUGGCAAUGCGCGAUUCAAGUGAGAUAAUGUGUAUAGACCUUGUGCGUCAGUCCACCAUCGAUUGUGAGAGAAGAAGGCGAUAGCUGAUUUUUCGUGAUAGUUGUCGGAAUUGGUGGAUAGUGGCUGGAGAUUGAACGAGAGAGAGAGAGAGAGUUGUGGGUGUGGUGGGUUGGGUUGGGGGUGCG